UACGAAGGGGGCUAGCGUUGCUCGGAAUCACUGGGCGUAAAGGGCGCGUAGGCGGAUCUUUAAGUCGGGGGUGAAAGCCCAGGGCUCAACCCUGGAAUUGCCUUCGAUACUGAAGAUCUCGAGACCGGAAGAGGUAAGUGGAACUGCGAGUGUAGAGGUGAAAUUCGUAGAUAUUCGCAAGAACACCAGUGGCGAAGGCGGCAUCCUGGACCGGCAUUGACGCUGAGGCGCGAAAGCCAGGGGAGCAAACGGG
rnacentral:rRNA from 1 species